rnacentral:rRNA from 1 species
CUCAGAAACUUAAAGGAAGUGGACGGGGAGCACUACAACGGGUGGAGCCUGCGGUUUAAUUGGAUUCAACGCCGGAAAUCUCACCGGGGCGACAGCAAUAUGAAGGUCAGGCUGAAGACCUUACCCGAUUAGCUGAGAGGUGGUGCAUGGCCGUCGUCAGUUCGUACUGUGAAGCAUCCUGUUAAGUCAGGCAACGAGCGAGACCCACGUCCACAGUUGCCAGCAUACCCCUCCGGGGUGAUGGGUACACUGUGGAGACCGCCGCUGCUAAAGCGGAGGAAGGAGUGGGCAACGGUAGGUCAGUAUGCCCCGAAUCUCCCGGGCUACACGCGGGCUACAAUGGUUGGUACAAUGGGCAUCUACCCCGAAAGGGGAAGGAAAUCUCUUAAAGCCAAUCGUAGUUCGGAUUGAGGGCUGCAACUCGCCCUCAUGAAGCUGGAAUCCGUAGUAAUCGCGUUUCAACAGAACGCGGUGAAUACGUCCCUGCUCCUU